UCUCUCUCCCUCUCUGAUUUUCUCUAGAUUUCUACAAAACAAAUUAAAAAAAAAUAUAUAUAUUACUCCAUUGAUUUCUCGGGAAGCGUGUUGAUUGCAUCAAGGUCUUGGAUUUGCUAUUUUGAGGUCUUUAUGGCAUCCCACCACUGGUGGCUAUCCUGGGAAGACUUUUCGGGGAACAAUAUGAGAACGAAGAAAGACUAGCCGCAAAAGAAACAAAUAUGUAUCAUGGGGAUUUGGGUAUUGCGUUUUGGAUUUUAUUGAGCUG